GGCGGUAGUGUGGGGGAUAAAAAAAGAAAAGAAAAUUUUAAAAAAUCAGAAUUAAUUGCUUAAACUGGUAGCAUUGUUGUCAAUUAUCAUUGGCUCAUAUAGGAGAAGGUCAUUCUGUCCACACUGUGAAGAUCUGUAAAGGAUCUACCCAAACAGUCCCCCUAUUUCCUCUUUCCUCCACCAAUCCAGUUUUUUUCGGUUUGUGCUUCUGAUUAGCAGCAUCCAGAUCAAACUUUAACUCAAUGUUUACCUCAGAUACAAGAACAGGACAAUAUUGCAUCCUUCUCAUGUAGGCUGGUGGGAACUUGAAAGUACCAUCACUAAGAGGGAUCAUUAGUUAAAUUUAAAUGGAUUCAUUACCUUUCAGCUGCAAGGAACAAUAAGCAGGCUUCAUUGCCACUAAUUUCAGAGGAUUAGUGAUUUAUUUGCAGCUAUGCAAAUCCCUUAAUGGUCUAAUCAGAGAUUUAUGGGCCCAGUACAAAGGAAGCCCCUGAAUGAUAAAAGGAACCAUUUCUCUUCAAAUGCCAAUGUCUCCAGGACACAGAUAAUUCCUCUUCAAAGUAGAUUCUACAGAUAAACAAUUCAAAUUAAAAGCUUCACUCAAAAAGUCAGUGAUGAAGAAAGAUUUUGUAGUACCUUGUGUGGCAUCUUCUGCAGCUGAUUAUUCUGUGAAGUUAUCCCAUUAUUAGUUUAUUUACUGUAGACAGGAGCAGCCCACAGGCAAAAAGACUGAGAAUCCCCAGAGUCGACAACACGUGAAAGUCACAAAAGGCAAAGUUUAAAAAUGUCCUGGAGGUCCACGGGGCUGCUUUCGGGAGUUUAUCCUGAUGAAGCAGCUAUCUGCAGCAUUACCUGUCACAGGCUCAGAAAGCGCAUUGACUGUGAGUAUGCCCCAUAUUAUUACAGUGACCAUAAGUGCCACAAUCCAUUUACUUAACAUUGGUUUCAUGAUGCCUUGACUACUGUGUUGUCUGCUGAUUACUGUGGCUAUUUCCAACCAGUUUUUGUUUUAGUCUUUUCCAUUUCUUUUCACUCUGUGAAAGUCCCAAUUAUUAAACGUCAAAUAAUGAGAUUCAAAAAUCACUGGUACAUAUUUUAACAUGACAUACUGACUUCAUUAAAAAUACCUCAGCACCUCGAAGAUCUGUGAUCUAAACCAUUCUACUUUAUUAAAAAUGGUAGCAUUGCUUUAUGUACAUUAACAUUAAUAAGCAUUUGAAGAUUUUAUAUUAUAUCACAGUGCUUUGAAUUUACCAAUGAUAGUGUUUGUUAACACAACCUUUCUUGAAACUAUUUCACCCUCUAGCAAAACAUUGAACCUUGAAAAUACCUGGUUCUUUUUGUCGAAUAAAACUAAUUUUUCUCAUUUGCAAGCUCCCACUGCAACAAAGUUCCACAAAUGGUGUUACAAUCAAUGAGCUCUCCCCACUUUCAACAUCUUGGGGAUUACCAUUGACUAGAAACAGAACAGGACAAGCCUUAGAAGCUAGGGAAUCUGCAGUGAGUAAUUCACGUCCUGAUUUCCUCAAUGUCUGUCCACCAUCGUCGAGGCACAAGUCAGGAGUGUGAUGGAAUACUCAAGAACACUCAAGAAUCUCAAGACCACCCAAGACAAAGC